AGAAAAACCUAAAACAAUCGUGAGAAUACUACUCGAUACAUCACUAUUUUCGAUUUUUCCAAGAGAUUUGUUAUAAAAGCGAAGUAAAAGAUGAAUUCAUCAUCAAUGGACUGGAAAAGCGAAAUGAACAAUAUGCUGACGGCGCUCGAUCGCCAGACAACAUUUUCAUUAGAAAGAAUAAAAACGGCUCUUAAAUACGGUGGACUAUCUUUCAGUGCCGAUUUCAAGCAAUUCUUUCUGGGAGCCAUAUAUGAUCGGAUCAAGACCACGUACAAUCAAUUUGAAAUGGAUUCGAUAUUUGAAGAACAAUUUGAAUUUGGCACAAAUACCAACAUGUCAACAGCUGAUGCAUCCCAGAUGGUGGAC